rnacentral:lncRNA from 1 species
UGGCUAUGUACAAAUGAAAACGGCGAAGUGCUUUAAUUAAGUGCUUACAAUAUCAUUUAGGGAGAGCUGCGCAG